rnacentral:rRNA from 1 species
AUUGAACGCUGGCGGCAGGCCUAACACAUGCAAGUCGAACGAGUGGCGGACGGGUGAGUAAUGUCUGGGAAACUGCCCGAUGGGGGGGGAUCACUACUGGAAACGGUAGCUAAUACCGCAUACCAUCGGAUGUGCCCAGGUGGGUUUAGCUAGUAGGUGGGGUAAAGGCUCACCUAGGCGACGAUCCCUAGCUGGUCUGAGAGGAUGACCAGCCAAACUGGAACUGAGACACGGUCCAGACUCCUACGUGAGGCAGCAGUGGGGAAUAUUGCACAAUGGGCGCAAGCCUGAUGCAGCCAUGCCGCGUGUAUGAAGAAGGCCUUCGGGUUGUAAAGUACUUUCAGCGAGGAGGCGUUACCCGCAGAAGAAGCACCGGCUAACUCCGUGCCAGCAGCCGCGGUAAUUC